rnacentral:tRNA from 1 species
GGCGCGUUCGUCUAGUGGCUUAGGACACCGCCCUCUCAAGGCGGGGAUCACGGGUUCGACUCCCGUACGCGCUACUA